GCUUGGUUAGCUUAAUGGUAGAGCAUAAACUCUUAAAUCUUCUGGUUCCAGAUCAUUUCACGGUUGUGGGUUCGAGUCCUACACUGAGCU